UAAGCGGAGGAAAAGAAACUAACAAGGAUUCCCCUAGUAACUGCGAGUGAAGCGGGAAAAGCUCAAAUUUAAAAUCUGGUGGCCUUUGGCCAUCCGAGUUGUAAUUUAGAGAAGCGUCUUCCGCGCUGGACCGUGCACAAGUCUCCUGGGAUGGAGCGUCAUAGAGGGUGAGAAUCCCGUCUUUGGCACGGACGCACCAGGGCUUUUGUGAUGCGCUCUCGAAGAGUCGAGUUGUUUGGGAAUGCAGCUCAAAAUGGGUGGUGAACUCCAUCUAAAGCUAAAUAUUGGCGAGAGACCGAUAGCGAACAAGUACCGUGAGGGAAAGAUGAAAAGCACUUCGGAAAGAGAGUGAAACAGUACGUGAAAUUGUUGAAAGGGAAACGAUUGAAGUCAGUCGCGUCGUCAGAGACUCAGCCUCGCCUCGGCUUGGUGUACUUCUCGGUCGACGGGUUGGCAUCAAUUUUGCCCCUUGGAUAAUGGCGAGGGAAAUGUGACACCUUUACAGGUGUGUUAUAGUCUCUCGUCGCAUGCAAGGGUCGGGAUUGAGGAACUCAGCACGCGCCUUUGGGCGUCGGGGCAUCUGCCCACGAUACGUGCUUAGGAUGUUGGCGUAAUGGCUUUAAACGACC
rnacentral:rRNA from 1 species